UACGGAGGGUGCAAGCGUUAUCCGGAUUCACUGGGUUUAAAGGGUGCGUAGGUGGGUUGGUUAAGUCAGUGGUGAAAUCUCCGGGCUUAACCUGGAAACUGCCAUUGAUACUAUCAAUCUUGAAUACCUUGGAGGUGAGCGGAAUAUGUCAUGUAGCGGUGAAAUGCUUAGAUAUUGACAUAGAACACCAAUUGCGAAGGCAGCUCACUACACGGUCAUUGACACUGAGGCACGAAAGCGUGGGGAUCAAACAGG
rnacentral:rRNA from 1 species